UACGUAGGUGGCAAGCGUUGUCCGGAAUUAUUGGGCGUAAAGCGCGCGCAGGCGGUCCUUUAAGUCUGAUGUGAAAGCCCACGGCUCAACCGUGGAGGGUCAUUGGAAACUGGGGGACUUGAGUACAGAAGAGAAGAGUGGAAUUCCAAGUGUAGCGGUGAAAUGCGUAGAGAUGUGGAGGAACACCAGUGGCGAAGGCGACUCUUUGGUCUGUAACUGACGCUGAGGCGCGAAAGCGUGGGGAGCAAACAGG
rnacentral:rRNA from 1 species